GCCCUGGUAGCGGAGUUGGUAACGUGCUCGGAUUGCCAGUCCGGGCGUCGUGGGUUCGAUUCCCACCAGAGGCC
rnacentral:tRNA from 1 species